GAUUAACGCGAAGAACCUUACCAACUUUUGACAUGUCCCGUAUGGGUUUCAGAGAUGAGAUCCUUCAGUUCGGCUGGCGGGAACACAGGUGCUGCAUGGCUGUCGUCAGCUCGUGUCGUGAGAUGUUGGGUUAAGUCCCGCAACGAGCGCAACCCUCGGCCUUAGUUGCCAUCAUUCAGUUGGGCACUCUAAGGCGACUGCCGGUGAUAAGCCGGAGGAAGGCGGGGAUGACGUCAAGUCCUCAUGGCCCUUACGGGUUGGGCCACACACGUGCUACAAUGGUGGUGACAAUGGGGAGCAAAGGCGCGAGCCCGAGCCGAUCUCAAAAAGCCAUCUCAGUUCGGAUUGCACUCUGCAACUCGGGUGCAUGAAGUUGGAAUCGCUAGUAAUCGCGCAUCAGCACGGCGCGGUGAAUACGUUCCCGGGCCUUGUACACACCGAAUC
rnacentral:rRNA from 1 species